GGAACAAGUGGAGCAAAUCCGCUUUCUUCUCGUUCUCCAAACCAGCAGACAGUUGGCAGGUAUGUCCAUCACUUGAUAUGGUCACAUAUGUUUAUUAUUAAAAAACUAUUUCACAUGGUGUUUAAUGACAACAUGAGACACGUGUAUCUGUCUUUCUUGCCUGCAGUAUGUGGUUUAUAGACCUGGCAGGAAGUGAAAGGGCAUCAGACACCAAAAAAACAAACAGACACAGUCGCAUAGAAGGAGCUGAGAUCAACCAAAGUCUCUUAGCAGUAAGCUAAAUAAUUCACAAAGAGCCAAGGACAUCACAAAGAGUAUUGCCAUGAUGAUCGUGAAGGACCUACAACCCCUCUCUGUGGUUGAACAGGAGGGUUUCAAGAAUUUAAUAAAGACACUUGAUCCCCGCUACAGGAUGCCAAGUGAUUUCUCACGGCAGCUAGGAGCACACACAGGGAACAAGUGGAGCAAAUCCGCUUUCUUCUCGUUCUCCAAACCAGCAGACAGUUGGCAGUAUGUGGUUUAUAGACCUGGCAGGAAGUGAAAGGGCAUCAGACACCAAAAAAACAAACAGACACAGUCGCAUAGAAGGAGCUGAGAUCAACCAAAGUCUCUUAGCAGUAAGCUAAGUAAGUGAUAUGUUAACACACACAAAGAGCUCAAAUACAGAAACAAAGGUCAUUGUAUUUACCUUUUAUUUGUUUAAAGCUCAAAGAAUUGUAGGUGCAAUGGGUCGAGUGCUGCUUAGGAGCACUCGGUGUUA